GCUAACUUCGUGCCAGCAGCCGCGGUAAUACGAAGGGGGCUAGCGUUGCUCGGAAUCACUGGGCGUAAAGGGCGCGUAGGCGGCGUUUUAAGUCGGGGGUGAAAGCCUGUGGCUCAACCACAGAAUGGCCUUCGAUACUGGGACGCUUGAGUAUGGUAGAGGUUGGUGGAACUGCGAGUGUAGAGGUGAAAUUCGUAGAUAUUCGCAAGAACACCGGUGGCGAAGGCGGCCAACUGGACCAUUACUGACGCUGAGGCGCGAAAGCGUGGGGAGCAAACAGGAUUAGAUACCCUUGUAGUC
rnacentral:rRNA from 1 species